UACGUAGGGGGCUAGCGUUGUCCGGAAUCAUUGGGCGUAAAGCGCGUGUAGGCGGUCCGGUAAGUCCGCUGUGAAAGUCGGGGGCUCAACCCUCGGAUGCCGGUGGAUACUGUCGGGCUUGAGUACGGAAGAGGCGAGUGGAAUUCCUGGUGUAGCGGUGAAAUGCGCAGAUAUCAGGAGGAACACCAAUUGCGAAGGCAGCUCGGCUGGGACGUUACUGACGCUGAGACGCGAAAGCGUGGGGAGCAACAGG
rnacentral:rRNA from 1 species